UCGUAUGGUGACAAGUCUCGUUAAUUCAGUAAAACGAGCGCGAUCUUAGUUGCAUAGGGGGUGUCUGCUGGCUCCGGUUGGCAAGCCGCCCCCCAUCCGUCUCCCGGAGAUGGUGGAAUUGCAAGACAUUCGGUGUAAGGCAAUCACGCCUGUAAUCGUAAGGAAGAGUAAGGCGAGAAUA
rnacentral:rRNA from 1 species